rnacentral:rRNA from 1 species
UGGGGAAUUUUGCACAAUGGGGGAAACCCUGAUGCAGCGACGCCGCGUGAUUUAGAAGGCCUUCGGGUUGUAAAAAUCUUUUUUACGGGAUGAAAAUGACAGUACCGUAAGAAUAAGGUCCGGCUAAAUACGUGCCAGCAGCCGCGGUAAUACGUAUGGACCGAGCGUUGUCCGGAAUCAUUGGGCGUAAAGGGUACGUAGGCGGCCUAGUAAGUUAGAAGUGAAAUAAUAUAGCUCAACUAUAUAAAGCUUUUAAAACUGCUAGGCUUGAGAGAUGGAAGGGAAAGUGGAAUUCCUAGUGUAGCGGUGAAAUGCGCAGAUAUUAGGAAGAAUACCGGUGGCGAAGGCGACUUUCUGGUCAUCAUCUGACGCUGAGGUACGAAAGCGUAGGUAGCAAACAGG